rnacentral:rRNA from 1 species
CGCACUAGUUCUAGAGUUUGAUCCUGGCUCAGAGCGAACGCUGGCGGCAGGCUUAACACAUGCAAGUCGAACGGGCGACUUCGGUGCUAGUGGCAGACGGGUGAGUAACACGUGGGAACGUACCUUUCGGUUCGGAAUAAUUCAGGGAAACUUGGACUAAUACCGGAUACGCCCUUCGGGGGAAAGGAUUUAUUCGCCGAUAGAUCGGCCCGCGUCUGAUUAGCUAGUUGGUGAGGUAAUGGCUCACCAAGGCGACGAUCAGUAGCUGGUCUGAGAGGAUGAUCAGCCACAUUGGGACUGAGACACGGCCCAA